UACGUAGGGUCCAAGCGUUGUCCGGAUUUAUUGGGCGUAAAGAGUUCGUAGGCGGCUCAGCAAGUCGGAUGUGAAAACUCCAGGCUCAACCUGGAGACGCCAUUCGAUACUGCUGUGGCUUGAGUCUGGAAGGGGAGCACGGAAUUCCUGGUGUAGCGGUGAAAUGCGCAGAUAUCAGGAGGAACACCGGUGGCGAAGGCGGUGCUCUGGGCCAGUACUGACGCUGAGGGACGAAAGCGUGGGGAGCCAACAGG
rnacentral:rRNA from 1 species